rnacentral:rRNA from 1 species
CAGUCGCCGCGGGAAUACGUAGGUCCCGAGCGUUGUCCGGAUUUAUUGGGCGUAAAGCGAGCGCAGGCGGUUAGAUAAGUCUGAAGUUAAAGGCUGUGGCUUAACCAUAGUACGCUUUGGAAACUGUUUAACUUGAGUGCAGAAGAGGAGAGUGGAAUUCCAUGUGUAGCGGUGAAAUGCGUAGAUAUAUGGAGGAACACCAGUGGCGAAGGCGACUCUCUGGUCUGUAACUGACGCUGAGGCUCGAAAGCGUGGGUAGCAAACAGGAUUAGAUACCCCGGUAGUCCCUGUCUCUUAUACA